GAUGAACGCUAGCGAUAGGCUUAACACAUGCAAGUCGAGGGGCAGCACAAGGUAGCUUGCUAUCUGGGUGGCGACCGGCGCACGGGUGCGUAACGCGUAUGCAACUUGCCCUAUACAGGAGGAUAACCCGUCGAAAGACGGACUAAUACUGCGUAUGCUCACAGCUUGGCAUCAAGUAGUGAGGAAAGAAAUUCGGUAUAGGAUAGGCAUGCGUCCCAUUAGCUUGUUGGUGAGGUAACGGCUCACCAAGGCAACGAUGGGUAGGGGAACUGAGAGGUUUAUCCCCCACACUGGUACUGAGACACGGACCAGACUCCUACGGGAGGCAGCAGUGAGGAAUAUUGGUCAAUGGGCGAGAGCCUGAACCAGCCAAGUCGCGUGAAGGAUGACUGUCUUAUGGAUUGUAAACUCCUUUUAUACGGGAAUAACAAGAGUCACGUGUGACUCCCUGCACGUACCGUAUGAAUAAGCAUCGGCUAACUCCGUGC
rnacentral:rRNA from 1 species